UUAUUUAGAAAAUUCGUAGUGAAUGUUCAAAAAGAUUUAACAAUUAUAAUUAAUAAUUAGACUUCCUCCUAUCUAUGAUUUUAUGAGUAUUUUCUUUAAAAAUUCGUGUUCAAAAAUUAUUAAUAUGUGAAAUAGUGAUAUAGUGAUGAAAUAAUUUUUUGUUAAUAUCCUAAUAGCAUAGUUCGAUAAAUUCAAUAAAGCAUAGAGCACUGUCACGUAAAAGGGGGGAAAGAACCAUUUACCGAAGUAGGUGAACAAGUUAAAUCAAAUACUUGGAUCGCACUGUAUAAAGGCCAAAAGUGUACCAGCAAACAAUGCAUUUCAAUCCAGGAGAUGGCACUUAAUUACCUCUCUUAUCUUUUAUAUAUUUACACAAAUACUUUAUACAGAUAAAGAUACUUCAAGCGUGAAAUUUUUCAUCUUGAUAGACUUCUCUUUAUGAUCGCUGUUUGUGAUUUUAAACAGUCUUGUCAAACGCUUGCUAUGGAUAGCUCUAUAUACGUGAAGAAUGUACUACACACUUAGCAACAAUGACAAAGAUAUCGUAAGUCACAACAGAGAAUAAGAACUCGAAAGAGGGUAACGUUUAUACGAGGCAGAAAGUCCAGUGACCGAAUGUAACUCUACACUGUUAAAAGGUUGAUGCGCAACUGCACACUGCACAGUAAAGAGAAAAGCCCGGAGGGCAGCUUCGCUGCAGGGCAUACCGGGGUAAGGGUGAUGGAACGAAACGGGGCUGAGCUCAGGGGCCUGGCACCUCAAUGCAUCGAUCGCCGUUUGGUCCUUUUCUCUCCGUUUCAACGCCCUAAACCACGCUACGUAUCGCACUGACGUAGCUAACGAUCACAAUACCCGGCUGCACUAGAUCUCUCGUAGUCAUUAACUACGCUUUUCUUUAAAUCACCCAAAAUGAAAAUGAAAUUUCAGUAAAUAUUAAAAUAUGAAUAGCGUUUAAAUAUUUAGUUUUAGUAUCCGAUAUAUAUAUAUAUAUAAAUUAUAUUACUUUUCGUGUACACUACGUUUCUUAUUUGAAACGAUAUCCUCAGGGAUACAAACAUGUAAAAUAAUUGAGACAGCAGCUUCUCUGGGCUUUCUUAUACAACAAUUUACCAGUAUAUACUAAUAAUACUAAUAAUAACAAUAAUACUAGUUACUUGAUGAAUAAUAACAUAUAGACUUUUUAUGAUUUUACAAUUUUCAAAUAAAAUAAUUUGUAAUUUAUAAAAUUUCAUUAAUUUUGUUACCAAAUUUGAUGAUGUUAUUAAUAUUGGUAUCUUGUGACUCACAAAAUUGAACAAGAGGGCCCUAGCCACGGUUCGGAAUCAAAUCUGGUCAGCUACCAAGGGAGAGUCUUGUCCAUUACUAAAGAUUUAGAUAUAAUGUGUUACCUAAUACUCUCUGAGAUAUUAAGGCUUUAAAGUCAAUAAAAUAGAAUGAAAAUGCAGUUAGUGUAUUUAGUAAAUGAGUUACAAAUUGAAUUUACUUAUCUAAACGCGAAUUCCUAUUAUACGAACAAAAGAUCAUAUACAGUAGAGAUGUCCUUUGAAAAAAAGGACUAUUUGAGAUAAAAAAUGAUAAAUAUCAAUACUUCGUCUUCUUUGUUUAUUGAUCCGAUAUGAUACAUUAAAAUAAUCAUAAUCCUUUGUCCUGCAUAUUUGCCUUUUUUUAAAUGGGGCAUCUAAACUUCAUACCCCGUAACCUACUUGUAGUUGUCUGAAGGUUAAACGGGGGUAAUAACGUUGCGUUAUACCCUCAAUACGCUUCGGCACGCGGAUUAACUUCGCGCUUCAAAGCUCACGGAGAAAAAUGCGAGCUACAACCCUGAGCGCUAUUGACGACGAAUUGUAGGUCGAAAGGGAUGCACACAGACAGAAGAAGCAAUAGUGGAGCAGAGAAAUGAGCUCGCGGAAUGCUCGCAAAAAGGGGAAUAAUAAUGCAUUGAAAACCUAUACAUGAUUGAAACACUCGACUUUCGUUCUAUUUUUUGUGGAGAAAUUUAUUCAAUACGUUGUCUCUUUUCUAGUUUAUAAGUAUAUGCAUUGUACAAUGAACAUAUUUUUUAAAAAGAUAAAAGAUUGAAAUAUUUUUCUUCCUGUUU